rnacentral:rRNA from 1 species
UUAUCUGCCCGGUGAAAUUUUAACGGCCGCAGUACCUUGACUGUGCAAAGGUAGCAUAAUCAUUUGACUUUUAAUUGGAGCCUGGAAUGAAAGAAAGAACGUAGACGGCUUGUCUCAUUAAUACUAUUCUAAAGUUAUUCAAGGAGUGAAAAUACUCUUAAUUUUAAAAAUAGACGAGAAGACCCUUAGAAUUUUUAAAAUAUAUAAGCAGGAAUCUUAUAAUAUUUUUUGUUGGGGCAACAAUAUUUCAUGUAAAUAAAUAUCUUGUUAUAAUGGAUGGGUCGAUUAAAUAAUUAUAGUAAAAUUACCUAAGGGAUAACAGCAUAAUUUUAAUAAUACGCUUGUGACCUCGAUGUUGGACUAGGUACUAUUAAGGCUAAUCGUUUUAA